AAAGUCGUAACAAGGUAACCGUAGGUGAACCUGCGGUUGGAUCAUUAAUAAAAUUAAAUAGAAGACUCCUACCAAGAGAUCUAUCUAUCACAUCUUGUGAAUCAUAUAUGUCUCUGGUGUGUUAAUUUUAGUUGCUAACUUUAUUUUGCACACCAGAAUAACUUUUAUAAACUUUUGUUUAAACUUUUAAGCCUAAAAAAAGAAAUCAUAUAAAAAGUAAAAACAACUUUUGACAACGGAUCUCUAGGCUCUC
rnacentral:misc_RNA from 1 species